rnacentral:rRNA from 1 species
UACGUAGGGGGCUAGCGUUGUCCGGAUUUAUUGGGCGUAAAGAGCGUGUAGGCGGCCAGGUAGGUCUGCUGUGAAAACUCGAGGCUCAACCUCGAGACGUCGGCGGAAACCAUCUGGCUAGAGUCCGGAAGAGGAGAGUGGAAUUCCUGGUGUAGCGGUGAAAUGCGCAGAUAUCAGGAGGAACACCGGUGGCGAAGGCGGGGU